GUUCUGCCACCUUUCAAAUGCAAAGAGCUUAGCAUUGUGCAGGGCCAUAUGGGUCUCUGAGAGGCUGAAGCUUGCUGUGGAAGAUGGUCUCUUUCUGCGUUCUCUCAGGGACCUCUGCUGUUCUUUGCACAACAAAACCAAAUCACUCAGAUGCUUCUGUAUAUUUUUCCUUUCUUUAAAGAAUCUAACAAAAGAUGUUUAUUUUACCCCAGUAUGCCAUUGAAUCUGCAAUUCAGCUGAUAUUCUUUGUUCAAAGAUGACUGCAUUAGGAGUUUCUUCUACAUGUUGUUCCAAAUCAAAGUUUAAAUAAAAAAAUGCAAUUGUAUUUUUAAAUGCAAAUUUGGAAUUCUGAUACUUGCAAACCAAAAGAACAGCGCUGAAAGCAGAAAUAUAACAAAAUGUUUGGCAAAGUCUUCACAGAAGCUUAGUUUAUCCAUUAAACGCUGAAACUGCAGUAAAAUCUAAAUUAAAAAGGAAAAAAAACCAAUUUCUGCAUUUUUUAUUGUUCUACUACUGAAAACUGGUAAUAGUAAUUCACUUCUGUCAUUUCUCAGUUUUUAACCUCUUGGGUCUUGUUAAUGGAUUUUGGUCUAAGCAAAAGGAAUCAAAAUAGAUGUACACUGAGUUACGACAGGCAUUUCCGCACAGUGAUCAUAACGUCGGUUGUCUGUUUUGAGGUGAAUGGAGUACAGGUGCAAGGUACCAGGAUCGAAGCUGCGCAGGUACGGACUAGCAGGAUGGCCUCAUGUCGGUUGUGUGCAGUGUCCAUAGCUCCGCCACAAACCAAACUCUGGGCUCAGAUGUGAUUAAGAAAUGAGAAGACUUGCUUUUAAAUCAGAGCACCAAGUGCUGCUAAUGUAAAAUGAAAGUAGGAAUGAAAAGAAACAAGCCACAUACUUUAGAAAAGAAGAAGAGACAAAGAACUCUUUCCCCUUCCAGGCAAUCCUGCAAACGGGAGGUUCAUGAGGUAGGAGCAAAACUGAUUCAUAUACUGGUAGGAGACGUACCUUGGUUGGGCCCCCUGCAUAUGUGUGCUCAAAGGUUAGAAUUGGCUCCAUCUCCUUUCAUUAUAUACUGUGAAUCCCAGGCUGAUUUUACCACUUGUUGGAGAGAGAAAUUCAUUCCUCUCCUGGGCUUGGCUGUGUCUCACAGUACUUUAGCACGUAAGUAG
rnacentral:lncRNA from 1 species